GGAUUAGAUACCCUGGUAGUCCACGCCGUAAACGAUGUCAACUAGCCGUUGGGAAUUUUACAUUCUUAGUGGCGUAGCUAACGCACUAAGUUGACCGCCUGGGGAGUACGGACGCAAGUUUAAAACUCAAAUGAAUUGACGGGGGCCCGCACAAGCGGUGGAGCAUGUGGUUUAAUUCGAUGCAACGCGAAGAACCUUACCAAUUCUUGACAUCCACGGAAGCUUUCAGAGAUGAGAGUGUGCCUUCGGGAACCGUGAGACAGGUGCUGCAUGGCUGUCGUCAGCUCGUGCCG
rnacentral:rRNA from 1 species